GCCUGGCUGGCUCAGUCAGUAGAGCAAGUGACUCUUGAUCUCCAGGUUGUGAGUUCAAGCCCCACGAUGGGGG
rnacentral:tRNA from 1 species